rnacentral:rRNA from 1 species
UUAGUAACUGCGAGUGAAGAGGGAAAAGCUCAAAUUUAAAAUCUGGCAGCAUUUUGUUGUCCGAGUUGUAACCUAGAGAAGUGUAACCUGUGCUGGACCGUGUAUAAGUUUCCUGGAAUGGAGCAUCACAGAGGGUGAGAAUCCCGUCUUUGACAUGGACUACCAGUGCAUUGUGGUUGUGCUCUCAACGAGUCGAGUUGUUUGGGAAUGCAGCUCUAAAUGGGUGGUAAAUUCCAUCUAAAGCUAAAUAUUGGCGAGAGACCGAUAGCGAACAAGUACCGUGAGGGAAAGAUGAAAAGAACUUUGGAAAGAGAGUUAAACAGUAUGUGAAAUUGUUGAAAGGGAAACGUUUGAAGUCAGUCGCGUUAGCUGGGGAUCAGCCUGACAUUGUUGGGUGCACUUCCUGGUUGACGGGCCAACAUCAGUUUUGACUGCCAGAAAAAGGCCAAGGGAAUGUGGCACCUUUGGGUGUGUUAUAGCCUUUGGUCAUAUAUGGUGGUUGGGACUGAGGAAUGCAGUGUGCCGAAAGGCCGGGUUUCGACCACGUUCACACUGAGGAUGUUGGCAUAAUGGCUUUAAGCGACCCGUCUUGAAACACGGACCAAGGAGUCUAACAUGCAUGCGAGUGUUUGGGUGGAAAACCCUUACGCGUAAUGAAAGUGAAAGUUGAGAUCCCUGUCAUGGGGAGCAUCGACGCCCGGACCAGAACUUUUGGGACGGAUCUGCGGUAGAGCACGUAUGUUGGGACCCGAAAGAUGGUGAACUAUGCCUGAAUAGGGUGAAGCCAGAGGAAACUCUGGUGGAGGCUSGUAGCGAUUCUGACGUGCAAAUCGAUCGUCAAAUUUGGGUAUAGGGGCGAAAGACUAAUCG